CCGGUUACUGGUCAGUACAAUGUAAUUAUAUGUAGCAAAACACAAGAGGAAGUACACAAACACAUAUUUAUGUGCGUAGAAGAGAGGAUUUUAGCGUUGUGACACCUUUGAUAGCGGCUGGCAUAAUGGUUGACUAUGCUGUAUUAGUUGCCGCGAUCGACUUUGGAACCACUUAUUCAGGCUGGGGUUUUUCAUUCAAACAUGAUUUCGAGAAAGAACCCACAAAGAUAUCUACAAAGCGUUGGUCGGGAAGUCAACUUAUGUCCCUAAAAGGACCAACGUGUAUUUUGAUACAACCAGAUGGCCAGACCUUGCAUAGUUUUGGAUUUGACGCCGAAAAUAAGUACAUUGAUUUAAUGACAGAUAAGGAACAUGAAGACUGGUACUUUUUUCAGCGAUUUA